CCGCCUCUAGCUCAAUUGGUAGAGCAGGAGCCUUUUAAGCUCAAGGUUUUGGGUUCGAUUCCCAAGGGGCGGA
rnacentral:tRNA from 1 species